UGCAAAGUUUCUAACGGCGCUGUUGGCGAGGGAUAGAGACUCGUCUCCCCCUCUUUACGAGUAGGCGCAUCAUUGGCCAUUAUGCACACCACAAUGGGCCAUGUCGUCGUGGUGAGCCCUGACCACGCAGGUCUCCAUCGACUCCGGCACGACGAAACUCGUUUCCCCAUUACGGGAUCGGCUAAUUGUCUGAACUCGAGCUCCCUCUCAAGCGGUAGCUCGUUUACAUAUCCUGUGCAUCGGCUGAGGGCAUCGACGUGUGCCAUUCUUUUGCCCGGCCAAUGCGUAACCUUGAAACGAUAAUUCUGCAAGCGUUAUUGGUUGCCUGACUGAAAUACGCAACCGGACACCAUCUACCGUCGUUCUGCUUCUGAAGCAGUAUUGCGCCCAGGCCCAGACUGCUUGCAUCGGUGUGCAGUUCCGUAUCGAGGGCCGGGUUAUAAAGCGCUAGU